GUCGUUUCCAGGUAUGUUCACUAAGGGAAAAGGGAAGAGGCGUUUCUGGCAGUGAAUCUUGUUCCUGCUAAAAGGCUUAAACCAGUAGAAGUUGCUUUCCACCUUUUGCCAAAACAAUAUGAAAAAACCCCAAAAGAACAAGACCAACUAGUCCACUUGCAGGCAGGACUGGGCCGCAGGACUGUUUAUUUAGAUGAGAGCACAACACAUGAUGAGGUAAGCAGAUUCCAUAUGUAUAUUUGAAGAAUUCUGUUAAUUAGUCCUACCCGAUUCCUUUUUGAGAUGUGGCAACCAGGACUGGCAACCAUUUUAUUAUUAUUAUUAACCUUUAUUUUACCAAGUUGACUGACAUCCUUUUCUCAUUUGGAAAGAAAUCUGUUUGGAAGAAAGCUUCUUAGUAGUUACACAAACUACUAUAAAUUAUAUGAAGAAGUAGUCAUCGAGUUUAUAAUGGUCAGAUGUUUUAAUUCUGAUUUCUAAUAAGCUAAAAUGCAUCUAAUCAAGACUGAUGUUCUAGUACAAUCGUCCUUCAUUUCAACAGUUCUGCAUCCUUUCUAAGGAAACAAAAGUGUGGAGCAGCCAUUCCACUGCAGCUCCUGAUGGAACACUUGAAGUCUUGCAACAUCAUUGAUGUUGACAAUGAUGAAGACAACCUGGAUAAUAUGGAGGAUAACAGUGAACAAGCACCAGCUCAGGAGCCCUGUCCCAUCUGCAUGGAAAUGUUUACUGCUGACUUUAUUGAAGUACAUGCUGCUUCGUGUGGUGAAAGUGAUGGAAUGUAUGAGGUGUUGGAUAGGAGUACUGUUGAAGAGCAAGCAGCAAUGCUUGUACAGUAGUGAAAAAGUUACAGAUGAGUGGCUCACGGUACAAGACCCUACCAAGGUCAUGUCUCUGUUUCGGGAAUCUAUUCUUAGCCAUCAUGAAAGUAAGAAUCCCUUACUUCUCAGCAUGGAUAUUAGAAAGAGCCCUGCUGAACAAGACGCUGCGCUCAUCUGCUUCUAUAAGAAGCCGAAAGUGGAAUGGGCACGACCCUUGAAUUGCAGACUUGAAGGUGAUGCAGCCAUUGGAGAGGGUGUGAGUCGCUUUUUCCUCUCAACUUGCAUGAACAAGCUGAAGUCUGGGUUUUGCUUCAACUUUGGUAUGUUGACUGUAGCUAUGUGUAAGCUGACUUGUCAUUAG
ensembl:lncRNA